UAGAAUCUGGACUGCCUGCGACCUCUCCAGGACUCGGACACCAACCCUCGCCUCCUGGUGAUCUUUCAGGACCUGCAGAGAAGCGAAGAGCAUGAGCCAGCAUGGUGAUCCAGGCCCGCGAUGAUGGUGAUCGAAGGGGCAGGUGGCCCUAAGUAUGGAGAACAAGAUGGAGAGUGAAGGAGGAGUCUGUGAUACCUCAGCCAUGCGCCAGUGUGCCGAUUCCCAUUCUGCAUGGAUUUGACUUCCAAGACUCCAGUCAAUCCUCAGCGCUCCAGGUAACUGCUGAUCACCAGCAGAGGGAGCCCUAGGACCACAGGGCCUCUUUCCUUACCGAUGGUAAAGCCCUUCACUGUGGCUUCAAAACUGUGGAAGACCCUGGAUUUGUGGAUCACUUGCCUUUAGAAUAGAAUCAAGAAAUAACGCUGCAGAAGAAUCUCCACAUGGUAAGGAUUGGGAGUGUUGAGAGGGGCUUCUGGGGUGCACGUAAUGUUCUUUCAUCCGAUGUUGGUUAUAGGAGUGUGUGCUGUAAUGUAGUAUAUGUACAUUUUUUUGUGUGUAUAACUAAACUUCAAUUAAAAGUUUUUAAAACUUAAAAUAAACAUCUCUAUGUAUACCACAAAAUAGGUGUCAGGUUAGGGUGAGCUGUUCUUUUCCCUACAAUUCUUAACCUUAUCUGAGUCACAAGACAGCCCUUCCUCCCUUCCUCUGUGAAAGCCACAAACGACUGGUUAAGGACUUCUGCAGCAGCCGCUGAAUAGAGAAAGUGAGCACAGGACAUGAACAGAUGGUUCACAGCAAAAGAGAUACAAAUAGCCCUUAAACGUAUGAAAAGGUGCUCAGUCUCAAUCUUCAAAGAGAAGUGCUUAUUGAAAGUAUGCGGAGAUACCAUUUUUAACCUGUCAGAUUGGCAGAAAUCCCAAAGCUUGACAGCAUGCCCUGUGGAUGGGGCUGGAGGUGGGGGAGUCGGGAGAAUAAAUAGCAGGCCCUUUACUACAUUACCAGUGGGAUUGUGAAAUUGACAGCCCUGUUGAUUUGGGCAAUAUCUACCGAAAUUACAAGUCUAAGAAUCUACCCUGUAGAUGACAUUUGUACAUAUAUGUAAUAAUUUAAUCUCCAAGUUGUCUUCUUGCUCUGUAAAAGGAAGAUUUUGGAAGUUAAGAAAACUUUUUCUGCCUCAACGAAGUCACAUUUUAACACUAAUGUCUCACGCUGUGGACUCAAGAAAAUCUAAUUUAAAGCAGAGCCAGGCAACGGCUUCCAUUGACUGACUGGCUGGAGGGAGCUGCAGGCUAACUAGGAAUUAGGAAUUAGCCACAACAGAAGUGCAUUGGUUUUAUCUCAAGAAAUAUCCUCCUUUACACCUGUUGUGGCAGAUGUGCCCACUGCUUGGGUGGCAGGACACUUUGAUUGUCUCACCAAGACUGUGUGGAAAGGGGUGGGGUACUUCUCCAAAGGGAAAAGUGGGCUGCUGUCACCCAUAAAAGGGGUGGAGGGAAAGGGCAGGCAGAAACAGUCAAUGUCUUCCAUAACUUCAGGUCACGUCUGCCUGCUGCUGAUACCGCAUUCAUAUCUGCAGCCUGUGUGUCUCCUCGACACCACGCCUCUGUGUCCACUGUCCUCCUAGUCAGUCGCCUACGUGGAUGUCCCUCUGACACCUGGUGAAACAUGAUGUGUUUCUAAUUGAGCAGGUUAUCUUUCCCUCUAAGCCUGGUCUCCUGGCCUUUCCCCAGUGCCUUCCAAUUUAAUUGAAUCAAAUCAAAUGUAAUUCACCUCCUCCCAUCCGUCUGGCUUCUGGGUUAAUACCCCCCCAAACUUUGGAAAUAUUUUAAUGUGUUAAUAUAUUAUUUUUUUAAUAAAAAGUAGUUUUAACAAAAGAAAAAUAUACCUCUGUAGAAAAUUUAGAAAAUAUAAGGACUCAGGCACCUUAUCUUUUUUAUCCCCUGGUUAGCCCUGGGAGGCAGACAGUGUUAUUUAUCCCCAUUUUACAGAUGAGGAAACUGAGGCUCAGAGAGGAACGUGGCUUGCUGCUUCCACACAGGUCAGAAGGAUCUAUGCCGGAUUUGAGCCCAGGUCUUUCUGGUUGCGAGCUGGAGGCGGUCUUGUCUUUGGGAUACUCAGUUGAAGGGCUUGGCCUUUGCCUCAGAAGGACUCGACCUGGCCCCCUCUUGAGGAUGUCCUCUGGCAGCAUUUGGUCAUGGUGUUGCAGAGUGCCUAGGAGCCACACUGACUCUGAGAAGCCCUGCCUCACACACCCACCCCUCUGUGUGGCCUUGGACACACUGCCCAAGCCUCUGUGCCCAGUUUACUCCUCGGAAAAAUGGGGAUGAUGAUAGUAAUCAUAGGCUUCCCUUAGAGAACUAGGAGAGAAUGGAAUGACCAAUGUGGUAGAACACUGCCUGGCUCAUAGCAUCUGAUAAUGGCUUAGAUAUUUGUCCCCUCCAAAUCUCAGGUCAAAAUGUGACCCCCAUUGUUGGAGGUGGGGCCUGAUGGGAGAUGUUUGGGUCUUGGGGGUGGAUCCCUCAGGAAUGGUGUGGUGCCCUCCCAUGGUAAUGGGUUCACCCCAGGCCCAGUUGUUAGAAAGAGUCUGGUACCUCCCACCUCCUCUCUCUUGCUUCCCUCUCUGGCUGUGUUAUCUGCGCAGGCCAGCUACGCU